rnacentral:rRNA from 1 species
GAUGAACGCUGGCGGCGUGCCUAAUACAUGCAAGUCGAGCGAACAGACGAGGAGCUUGCUCCUCUGACGUUAGCGGCGGACGGGUGAGUAACACGUGGAUAACCUACCUAUAAGACUGGGAUAACUUCGGGAAACCGGAGCUAAUACCGGAUAAUAUAUUGAACCGCAUGGUUCAAUAGUGAAAGACGGUUUUGCUGUCACUUAUAGAUGGAUCCGCGCCGCAUUAGCUAGUUGGUAAGGUAACGGCUUACCAAGGCAACGAUGCGUAGCCGACCUGAGAGGGUGAUCGGCCACACUGGAACUGAGACACGGUCGAGACGCCGGCGGGAGGCAGCAGUAGGGAAUCUUCCGCAAUGGGCGAAAGCUUGACGGAGCAACGCCGCGUGAGUGAUGAAGGUCUUCGGAUCGUAAAACUCUGUUAUUAGGGAAGAACAAAUGUGUAAGUAACUAUGCACGUCUUGACGGUACCUAAUCAGAAAGCCACGGCUAACUACGUG